AGCUUUGCGCAGUGGCGGUAUCGUAGCCAAUGAGGUUUAUCCGAGGCGCGAUUAUUGCUAAUUGAAAAUUUGCUCCUUGGUUAGGAUCUCCAGAUUAGCCCUUCUUUGCUAGAUGUCUUUAAGGAAGGUACCAAACAGC